AGCAGCCGCGGUAAUUCCAGCUCCAAUAGCGUAUAUUAAAGUUGUUGCAGUUAAAAAGCUCGUAGUUGAACUUCGGGAUCAAUGAAUCGGUCAUGCUUUCGUAUGUACUGGUUUUAUUGGUUCUCACCUUCUAAGGAACCAUAAUGUCAUUCAUUUGAUGUUAUGGGGAAUUAGGACUGUUACCUUGAAAAAAUUAGAGUGUUUAAAGCAGGCUAACGCUUGAAUACAUUAGCAUGGAAUAAUGAAAUAGGACAUCGCAUUCUAUUUUGUUGGUUUCUAGGAUCGAUGUAAUGAUUAAUAGGGAUAGUUGGGGGCAUUAGUAUUCAAUUGUCAGAGGUGAAAUUCUUGGAUUUAUUGAAAGACUAACUACUGCGAAAGCAUUUGCCAAGGAUAUUUUCAUUAAUCAAGAACGAAAGUUAGGGGAUCGAAGACGAUCAGAUACCGUCGUAG
rnacentral:rRNA from 1 species